UACGUAGGGCGCAAGCGUUGUCCGGAUUCACUGGGUGUAAAGGGUGCGUAGGCGGGAAGGCAAGUCAGAGGUGAAAUCUCACGGCUCAACCGUGAAACUGCCUUUGAUACUGCUUUUCUUGAGUUAGGGAGAGGUCGAUGGAAUUCCAGGUGUAGCGGUGAAAUGCGUAGAUAUUGGGAGGAACACCAGUGGCGAAGGCGGCUCACUGGACCGGUACUGACGCUGAGACGCGAAAGCGUGGGGAGCGAACAGG
rnacentral:rRNA from 1 species